CCCGCUUAAAUUGUUGUUCCUGAGAUCGAAACUGACCGUCACCGGUAAGUCGCCCAAGCUUUUCGGGAGAUUACCGGAUAAGUGAUUGUAGGAUAGAUUGAGAGUGCCCGACAAUGAGUUUAACUCUCCGAUGGUACUAGGGAUCGGUCCCUUGAAUUCAUUCGAAGAAAGAUCGAGUUGGACCAAGUUGUCUAAUUCCGGCCAAAUUCCGCCGGGAAUUUCGCCGGAAAACUUGUUUGAGCUAGAAUCAACCGCUGCAACUGCUUGCAGUUCUUGAGAUUCUCAGGCAAAGAACCCGACAGCGAAUUGUAGGAGAGAUCGAGGUUUUGCAGCCUCGGAAGCUUGCAGAUCGAAGGAGGCAGCGAACCGGACAGAUUGUUACCGUAAAGAAACAAGCUGUGAAGUGACGUGGCCAUUGAACAGUUGGUCCGGUAUAGACCAUAGAAGAAGUUAUUGUGAAGAUUCAUCUUCUGAGAUAGAUUAAAUUUCCAAGCUCGGACGGGACUAGCCUCGCAGAUUCUUCGCGGAAACGGCCGACUCCGACGACACGCGGGUCAGGAAAUCCUGAAAUGUUCUUGCAAGAAACGCCGGACCAAUUACACGGCUCCUCAUCGGUUCUCAUCCAGUCGGCGAAGACUGAGUGGCCUGAAGGUUGGUCCACGGCAGAUUUAAUGAGAGAAGAGAAAGGCCGUCAGGAGAAAGGGAAAAGGCCAGUUUCAAGGAGGGAAGAGGAAGAGGAAGAAGAGGCCAAAGAGAACCAGCUUCUUCAUGAUCUAUAAAAGACGAGUGUUUUUUUGGUUUCCCUUGUUCUCGUGACAAAUAAAAAUGUGGGCUUUAAAGAGACUAGCCAAGAGUCUUGAGACAUGAAAAAAAUGAUUACAAUAAAAUGAUUUAUAUUAGCAGUAAAUUAAAAAUGUAGGAGGAGUAAAUUGUAAGAGUUUGAAAAAGAGUUUAUGAAUGCUCAAAAACGGAGCUGAGGAGUUGUUUGUAGUAGAAGAAAAGCAAGUUGGUGGAAAUGAAAAUAGAAAAUAAAGAAGGAUAAAUUGUGUAUGGGAAGAGAAAGUGUUUAAACUUGUUUUGUUGACCAAAGAUAUCCAAUUUCUUUUUGGUACUUGGGAAGAUGCAAUUAUAUUUGUAAGAAGAAAAUGGGAAUGUUUAGCUUGCACUUAUAUUAACAAAAGCGUAAUAAUAAUUAUGCAAGCAAUCUUGAGUACCUAACUACCCAAUUAUAAUUACUUUAUUCUUUACUUGGGAUUACCUACUAAUGUAAUUUUUAAAUCCCUCAAUUCACUUUAUCUUUCCUUUUUUUUUACUGUGAAUGGUAAAAAAAUGUAAUUUUAACUUGCUUUGUACUAAAAAUUUACUAUUAUAUAUAAGACUAAUUAUUUAGUAAAUAAACCAUGAAACUUAUGGUUUGAAACCAUUAUUAACAAUAACAUAUAAAAUAUAUACGAUAUUAAAUAAAAAUAAUAUUAAUUGAGCAAAAUGUUUUUUUUUUUGGUAAAAAAGCAAACAAAAGGAGUUACAUCAAAUUAAAAUGUUCAAAAGCACCGUUGGCUUGAUCUUUUUGUAGCACUUUUAAGACUUUAUUAGGGCCAUCUUCAUAAACCUAUAAACCUGAUUCCCACUUUAAACUUAAUUUAGCAAAACUAUCGGUGGCAAGAUUAUCUUCUCUAGGAAUAUACUUGAUAAACCACUGACUUUCAGUUCUCAUAAUUCGUUGGACCUCCUGAGUACAGUGAUUCCCGCAUCCACUAACAUACCAUCAUGCAAAGCUUAACCACUUCCAGAUUAUCGAUUUGAAUGAUUGCUUUGUUGAAACCUUUGCUAAGUAGAAUAAGUAUGCCAUCUAGAAUGCCCAAUAGUUCAGCCUCGAAAGCUGAGUAUUUUCCCAGGCAGUGAUUGUACCCCAAGAUCCAACUUCCAUUUUGAUUACGCAGCACACCACCAACAGCAAUGCUUCAACAUCUAUCAAUUGCACCAUCAAUGAAAAGAUGUACCCAAUUGUCUAUUAAGGAUAUUCAAAUACCAGUAGGAGAGUAAUUUGAGCAAAUAAAUUUUAAACACGUAAAUACAUUACAUUAAAAUCUUAAAUGCAUUACAAUUGUUUAUCGUGAUGUUGUCAUCAAUACUUGUGGCACAAACUCAAUCAAACAUUAAUAAUAUAUACAAUUAAUGGAUGUAAUAAAGAAUGUAAAAUAUAAUUAAAAUGUAAAUAUUAUUUUACAAUAAAGUUUUAAUUUAGCAAUAAAGUUAAUGUUUUAUUGAUGUAAAUAGCACACGUUCAAAUCCAAUCAUAUGUAAAUUUUAUUGAUUUUUUUAAAAAAUAAAAAGAUUAAAUACUCUCGAAUAAUAUAACUUAUUUUAAUUAUGGAAGGUCAAUUCCGUGACUUCCCUAACUAAGUUGGUGCUCAAUUGACUCGUAACACCAACUCAAUCAAGGGCUUAAUUAUAGUAUACAUACAAUUGGUGGAAAAUAUUUGCUCCACAAGUAGGUUGAGAUUUUAGUCGUGUACUUUUUUUUAGGAACGUAGUUUUUCAACUUUUUAGAUUUCAAAAUUUAGUUCCACUUGUUAACAUGUUGAAAUUAUUUUGUUAAAUCAGGGUUCCUUACAUCGCCAUNNNNNNNNNNNNNNNNNNNNNNNNNNNNNNNNNNNNNNNNNNNNNNNNNNNNNNNNNNNNNNNNNNNNNNNNNNNNNNNNNNNNNNNNNNNNNNNNNNNNNNNNNNNNNNNNNNNNNNNNNNNNNNNNNNNNNNNNNNNNNNNNNNNNNNNNNNNNNNNNNNNNNNNNNNNNNNNNNNNNNNNNNNNNNNNNNNNNNNNNNNNNNNNNNNNNNNNNNNNNNNNNNNNNNNNNNNNNNNNNNNNNNNNNNNNNNNNNNNNNNNNNNNNNNNNNNNNNNNNNNNNNNNNNNNNNNNNNNNNNNNNNNNNNNNNNNNNNNNNNNNNNNNNNNNNNNNNNNNNNNNNNNNNNNNNNNNNNNNNNNNNNNNNNNNNNNNNNNNNNNNNNNNNNNNNNNNNNNNNNNNNNNNNNNNNNNNNNNNNNNNNNNNNNNNNNNNNNNNNNNNNNNNNNNNNNNNNNNNNNNNNNNNNNNNNNNNNNNNNNNNNNNNNNNNNNNNNNNNNNCGUCUGGAUCCACUGAAUUAUGUGGACGAAGUACAAAUUAGAAAACAGUACAACGUAUGGAGACACGUUUUCUCACCUGUCCCAGAUGAACGUAAGUGGCCGCCCGUAUCUCUUGCUCCUUUUAAGCUGUUUACCGGAUAGAGAAUUGCGUCGCAAGCCGAAGGGUCGACCUUUCUCCACUAGAACGAAACAAUAUGGAUAUCCGAGAAACAACCAGUCAACAGAAUUGUGCGGAUGGUGUAGGAACCCAGGCCAUACAAGUCGAUCAUGCCCUAAUCGCAAUAGUUGAAUGUAAUUAUAGAAGAAAUACCUUUUAUUCAAUUAUGUAUUGAUAAUUGUAUUAAAUUUUGGUUAAAUCAUCAAAUUACUACAAUUUCUUAAAUGUUAGUACCAGUCAAAAACAUUUUACGAAAUCCAACAUUAUGUAAAACUACAUUUAACUAGGGUUUUUAAUUAAGUAGGGUUUGGGUUUUUAAUUUAAUUAAAUUAGGGUUUUUAAUUAAGUAGGGUAGGGUUUUUAAUUUAAUUAAAAUAAGGUUAGGGUUUUAAUUUAAUUAAAUUAGGUUAGGGUUAGGGUUUUUAAUUAAGUAGGGUUUAGGGUUUUUAAUUUAAUUAAAUUAGGGUUUUUAAUUAAGUAGGGGUUAGGGUUUUUAAUUUAAUUAAACGGUUAGGGUUUUUAAUUUAAUAAUUAGGUUAGGGUUCGGGUUUUUACUUAAGUAGGGUUUAGGGUUUUUAAUUUAAUUAAAUUAGGGUUUUUCAUUAAGUAAGGUUGGGUUUUUUAAUUUAAUUAAAAUAAGGUUAGGGUUUUUAAUUUAAUUUUAGGGUUUUUAAUUACGUAGGGUAGGGUUUUUAAUUAAAAUAAGGUUAGGGUUUUUAAUUUCCUUCGGUUAGGUUCGGGUUUUUUUUAAGUCGGUUAGGUUCGGGUUUUUAAUUUAAAAUAAGGUUCGGGUUUUUAAAUUCGGUUAGGUUAGGGUUUUUCCUUUUUAAUUAGGUUCGGGUUAGGGUUUUACUUCGUCGGGUUUCGGGUUUUUUUUUUAGGGUUUUUCCUAGUCGGGUUAGGGUUUUUUAAUCCCUAAUGUCCCCCUAACUCGGAACUUCUCUUUGUAUUACAUCGUCAUCACUUCUAAUUCAUUACUCUGAUUUUUAAUACGGUAAUCAAUAUCUAUGACCAGGGGAUUCAGUUCCACAUGGCGGCCGUCGACUGUUACGCGCUGGAUUCCUCUUUUCUUUAGCUUCCAGCGGCGGUUGUUGUUCCUCCGGUGGGGAUUCUAGUUCUUCCGGUUCGGCAUCUGGUUGUCGGACUUGGGACGAUGAUCCACCUUCAAAGAAUAGUGUAUGUGGAGGUGUUUGCAUCAUGAACGGCGACGGAGUUUGAAAGUCAUGCGUUGCUGGCGAUUGGUAAAAAUGAGAGCUCCCCGACGGCCCCCCUUGCGACCCCUCCUGCGCCGAUGGCCUAGUUAUCGGUGGUCCGCUCGGUAUUACAGGAAAUGGAGCUGAUCCGGGCAUUUGGCUCCAACCUGCAAUAGGAUUCGGAAAAGGAUACAUGUACGGGUUAGGGUACAUAUAAGGGCUAGGAAAUAUACCUGCAUCAUAGGGAAAGGUGAAUGCGUGGGUAUCAUCUGUUGAAUUGCUGUGCCAGGUGACUGCGUUGGUGCUCUCGUUGGGGACGGUGAUUGCAUGGUCGCUGAUGAUGAACCGGGUGAAUGUCUGGGCCUCGUUGAGGGGCUGCCCUCGUAGUUUUGUCCCCUUGGAUUUUGAGGCCCGCGCCUUUCCCUUUCGACACGUAUUUACCGCCGCCUCUCCUCCGGCGUAAGUAAAUACGGCUUCCCAUGGGCCCUAAACCAUGGUAUGUAUUCUGGAACGCACGCUAACUCGGGAACGAUGAUUGGUUCCCGAGUAGGUAGAUAUUCAUUCCGAUUUUCCCACAUUUCUGUAUACACUGACCAGUACAACGGCCAAUCCGUACCUAAUAGCCGAAGGUCGAUUUUGUGGUGCUCGUCAAACUACUCAGGGUCCGCAGGGAUCGGUUGUCUACAUCCAAACUGUCGUAGGACUCUGUCUGUUUGGUGGGGCUCCACGGUUGUAUAGUUGAUCAACACCACUUUCACGUGCCAAGCGUUCGGAUUUUGUAAAAACUCUUCUGGGAUUACUGCCUGGACUGCCGGAUCCUCGUAUGGUGUCCAUUGAAACUACAUGAACAUGAUAGAAAUAUUACAUAUAUACAUAAUACUAAAUACUAAAUAUCAAUCCACUAGCGAAUGUAUGGAAAUAUCUAGUUGCAUAAUACUUACUUCUGCUUCCGAGCGUUGCUCCAAUAGAAGCCGUAUAUCUUCAAGUUCAGUCAGUAUUCCACGAUAACUUGCCGGAUGGUUCCACCUAAUUAAAUAAAUUUUUAAUAUUCUUUUAUUCUUACAAAAUCUACAUAUCAAUUUCAAAAUGUAAUAUAAAAUUUACCUCGUUACGAGUGAGAAUGUAUAUGGGUGGUUCACUCGAGAACGUAGAAAUGGAAAUUGAAACCGUGCCCAUGAUUGCAGUAGUGACAGGUAACCUCCGAUUUUUGCUCUCCUCGGUUUGGUCGCCCGCACAUCUCCCGAUAUAAUGUUGCCAAGACGGCAGACCCCCAACUAAAUUCACCGGCUGCUCUAAAAUCAACGAGUUUUAGCAGCCACCUUAGAUGUACACGGCUCCGUGAUGUGUCGGCCAUUAGAUAGCCUCCAAUUAUUUGAAGAAUGUAUGAUCGAGCAUAUCGGAUUCUUUCAAUCUCGGUUGAAUUUUCAUUCAGACCGGGGAAGGUGGCACGUAACCAGCGCAUCUCCACCUUACCUCCAUCAUUUUAUCCGGAACGGCGCCCAAAAGCUCGUAGCACACCGCCUCCCAAUUGCUAGAUUGGGCAGACCUGGUCACUGGGUGCCCAUCCACCGGCAAUCCCAAAUGCAGAUGGACAUCUUCUAGAGUGAUAGUGCACUCUUCACAUGGAAGAUGAAAUGUGUGCGUCUCAGGUCUCCACCUCUCGAUCAACGCACUGAUCAGUUUCGACUCCAACUUGCAUCCCCGGCCUACCGUCGCCACGUGCCAAAAUCCCGCUUCCCGCAGGUAGCUCUCUACUAACGGUGAUGGAGCAUGCAUAUUCCGAAUAUUGCAUUCCAAUACCCGAUCUUCAGCCUUUUAUAACAAAAAAUAUAUUAAUAAAUAUCUAAAAAUACAUAAAUAAAAAUAUCUUUAAAAAAAUUUAAAUUUAAAUUUAAUACUUACCAUGUUCAUUUGCUCCAUCGAUAUGUGAUUCCUAUCAAGACGAAUCAAUGAUCCGGCCAUUAUGAAAAUAUUAAAAAUUUUAAAAUUAUUUUAAAAAAAAUAAAAAAUUUAAAAUUUUCUUAAAAAAAUGAAAUUUAAUGGAAAAAGAAUUUAAUAGGAUUUGGAGAUUUUUUGAAGGAAAUUGAGAGGAUUUUGGAAGGAAUUUGAGAGUUUGAGAGAAUUUUGGAGGAAAUUGAUAGAAAUUUUGAAGGGAAUUGAGAGAAAUUUUGAAAGGAAUUGAGAUAAUUUUUGAAGAAAUUGAUAUUGAAUUGUUUGUGAAACUAAAAGGGGUGGGGGGGUUUAUAUAGUAAAAAAAAAUUUGACCGUUUGGGGGGGCAACGGUCAAUUUUUUUACUGUUGGGCACUGUUCACGCGCGCGUCCACAUCGCGCUGACGUGGACGCGAUCUUCUGCCCCGUCCCCUGACAUCGCUCCGAUGUGGCGCGAUUUUGGGGGAAACGGCCCAGUCCGGUAAAUAAUUAAAAAAUUGGCCUAUUUCGAUAAUUUUAUAAAAAAUUUGGCUUUUUUUUGGUAAAUCCCUCAUUAUUUGCUGUAUAGCACAAUUAUAUAAAGAUAUUAGUUUAAAUACUGUUUUAAGAUAAACAAAAUGACAUUUAUACUACUAUAUAUGAAGGGCCUUCCUUUUUUGACACCUGGCUUGUUUUUUAUUAUUAUUAUUUUUUUACAUUCUUAACAAUGGUUAAUUUUCAAUUUUGUUCCCUCUAUUUUUUAAUUAUAUAAAAAUAUUCAAAUUUCAAUUUUAGUCCCUAUAUUGGAAUUUGUUUUAUAUAAUUUAGUAUUUCAACGUUUAUAAUGUCAUUAGUUAGUCUAAAUAUUUUAGUCUAAUUAAAAUGCUUCCUAAAUUUAAAGAAUUGUUAACAUCAUUAAAUUUUUUGUUAAACUCUAGUCCAUUGUAAUGUCAUUUUUUGUGACAUGAUUAUCGAGUGAGUACAUUUAAAAAAAAUUAGAAUGUCACACCAACAAAUUUAACAGAAGAAUUUUAAUGGUGUUAACAAUUGAAUUUUAAUGGUGUUAACAACUGAACCUAAAUUUUUAUAUUCAAAAAAUAGAGGAACCAGAUUCUUAAAAAAAAAAAUCAAGGAUUAAUUUCAAAUAUACAGAGAGUACAGAAACUUGGAACAUAUAUGUAACAUCUAAAAUUUAACUAUUUAGUCCAAAAAUAAUUAACCCAAUAUGAAGCGUGAGUCGAAAACCAUACUAAAUAUACAUUAAAAGUAUAUUUAUUUAAAACUAUUAAAUAUAUUUAUAUUUAAAAGUAAUUUAUAAAUAUAGAAGCAUUUUAGUUAAUUUUGUUAUGAGGUUUACAUUAUGAGAGUGAAAGUAUAAUUUUUAAAGAAUAUUUAUUUGUUAAGUGGAAGAUAUGAUUUUGUUGUUAAAGAAAUAUUAAAUAAAAAUAAUGUAGAUAUGUUCAAUAUGUAAAUAAAAUAUUGAACUAAACUUGUUUAUAUAUGAAAUAUGUUUGUUAAUUUAAUAUAAAUAUAUUUCAUAUUUAAUUAAAUUAAUACUUAUAAUUGAUACAUGUUGUUUUAUCUUUUAUAUUAUAAUUUAGUUAUAACUUUCUAUAUUACUUUCAAUUUUUUUAUUUAUAAAAUAUAAUUAAUUUUAAUUAUACUUACAUUAAAUCUGUUAUAUAUAUUAUUUAUUUUUAUUUUAUAAAAAAAAUAAAUGCAUUUAUUCACCUACAACGUAGGGGAGAAAGAAAUCUAAAACCAAACAUCAGAUGAGGAAUAAAAGCAUUUUAAAAUAGGAGAUUUGAUAUUUAUGGAAAAUUGACCCACUGCUGACAUGAUCUAACAAAACAAUCAUGGCAGUAGUGGACAAAGGUUAGACACAUUUGAUGCAAAAUUCCCAUACAAUCUCACCUUAUAUUCCUUGUUUAUAGACUGUACUUCAAUCCUAACGUGCCUUGCCUACCAAUGUUGCUUGCUUCCUGUUUUAGGUUUCCAGGUUUCCCCUAAACAGCCUUUGGGUAUCUACAGUACCUAAACGCCAAGUUAUAUAACCCCCUUCUUUUUGUUAUUCAUGAGUUGACAAGUAAAAAAGGACGUGUUCAAUUAUUCAUUUUGUAAUUAAAUAACUGCAAAUUUAUAAUGAAAAGGAAUUACUUUGUGACCCCAUGCUUUCAUUCAAAUUUUAUUUUAUGUAAUUCGUUUUUACUUAAUUCCUCAAUAAUUUAUUUGAUAUAAGUUAUACAAAGAUAUAAACAAUAUUGUUGACUAGUAUGAUAAAACAUAGAAUUGGUUUAAAUCUAAUUAUUUAAUUGAAGUUUAGAUGAAUUUAAAGUGAUGGCUAUGUAUGAAAAAACUUUCAACUCCUACAAUGUCAUCAACAACAGAAAGCCGACAAUGAUUGAAAUCCAAUUCAUAAAGAUAACCAAAAGAAACCCCAGCAAGGUAGCAUUGCAGCAGAUAAUAAUAAUAAUAAUAAUAAAUAAUAAUAUAUGAUUCCAUCCUACGGAACUUCAUAAAAACCAUAUACUGUAAGGUAUUGCCAUCAUUUUCAACUUCUCUUCAUGUCCUUAUCUUCCUAUCCCCUACCCCCAAUUCCCAUUAUAUAUAUGUGCAUGCAUAAAUGCCAAAUUAACUAAUCAAAUUCUAUGCUAUGGGUUGCAAUUGCAAAAAGAUUGAUGUAGUAGACGGGACGAGAAGUAGAAGCUUUCGCUACGAAGAUUACAAUAAUCGAAGAGCGUUUUUGCGGAGCUAUCCUCUUCAAUGGGGUGAAGACGAAGAUGAACAAGAAAGAGUGACGGCAACCAAAGAAAGCAGUACCGAGAAAAAAGCCUAUAAAGAAGUUCAUGCAAUCUGUAUAUCAUUGGAGUGGGGAAAAGGUUGUGGUUUUGAGGAGAUUCAAGGAUAAGCUAGCUGUUUAUGUUGUUGCCUGUCUUCCAAUCCGCUUUAAGUCACCUCUAUUGCCCUAAUUUCUGUUUGAUUCUUCUAAAUUUCUCUUCUUAUCUUUAUUCUAAAUUCCAGGUUUUGAUAUCAUGCACAUCAUAGGCAUAUGUAUGGUAUAGGUAUCCUCUAAACCCUGGGUUUAACUCAAUUAGUUCGUAUACCCAUUCUGAAAGUUCAAAUCUCACCAUUUGCAAUCAUUAAAUGAACUGAAAUCGCAAAAUCAGCAACACAAGGAGUUUCAGUAAACAACUGGGAGAUGAUGAAAAGGAAGACAAGAAGGUUUAACUAUAUAAACGAAAAGAAUCAAAUUAGGCAAUUGGAGUAGUCCAUUCACCAUAAAUUGUAGGCACACCGCAGGUAAUGUUAGAUGACAAUGCAAAAUGCUAACUGAAAAAUCAUCAAUAAAGAACAAUCAGCCAAAGAAUGCUAGGGUGCUUUUGAAAUAAGUUUUUUACAUAGUUCUUCCAACAUUGGUAAAACUCUUUUCAUCAUCCAAACACUUUUAAACAUGUUAAAUUUCAACAAGAACAUUAGCUCACACGGCAAAGAUUGGAUCCCUCCUCCGAACAGUAGAGGGUGUGCUCCUUGUUCAGAAAAAUAUUAUUGAGACACCCAUUGUGAAGCAUCCUACAGCCACCCAGGGACUUAACCGUUCACCUGAUUCAAGAAAUAUACUAGUUAGUCCCACAAAUUGUAAUGCAUUGCUAAUGAAAGGGUAACAUCGAAUGAGUUUUGGAUUUUUUUUUCACAACCUACAUUCCAAAAUGGUUCAACUAAAGUUCCACAUCAUUGGGAUCCACUCUAAUUCAAUCCCAAAUACAUGCCUAAUUUUCUACAAGAAAUAACCUUUCAAAUGAAAAGGAGUCCAGGACACAAACAACUAAAAGAACCUUUUAAUGAAGCAAUAAUACCAGUUUGCAAAUGUAGAGUAUAUAUUUAUUUAUGGCAAGAAUUAUGAGCUACAAAUGAAAUAUUUGGCGCACAUAAAUAUUUAAAUUAACAUGCCCAUCUGCAUAUAUAUGGUCUUGAACUUAAACGGCAGGUUGCUAAUGCAACUCCACUACACAAAUAGCUCAAGAGACAACUUAUCUCAUUAUGGAUUUCCGACAAACAAAAACUGAUAUUGUAUAACAAUCAUAGUUCAUUCACAACCAAUUAAAGCAGUAAACUCACAAGUCAAAGGCAUUUAAGUUGGUAUAAACAACAAACGGAACAAUUCAGGUGCUUCUUCAUGCCAAUUAUUGCAAAACUGGAUAGAGCAUCAAUACAAAUAAUUGUUCUUAUGUGAAAAUAACUGCCGAAACCCCAUGACUGCUGUUCAACUUUAUCGUUAUUGUCAUCCCUUUCCCUCCCAGUCAAAAUAUCAUUACCAUCCUAUUCUAAUUCACGACUUUAUGAGAUUUUAAUUCUAAAACAAAGCACAAGUUCUCUAUACAAUAUGAUUAUUUAAAAUGAUAUAGCUAAAUUUUUGUCUUUCACUUUUAGUCUCAUUUCCAGAAUCAUUUUGGAAUCAUAGAUAAUUAUCAUCCUGCAUUUUUGAGCCAAUCACUAUCAUAUUUAUUAUCAACUAAUUUAAAGGCUUCAUACACGAUAAACAUUAUAUGUCCAAAUAAGAUUCAGAACAGGGGGACACUACAUGACUAUUCCAAAUUCUCAAUGCAACCAGAAAGAAGUAAACCAAGCAGAAAAGAAGACCCACCUAUUCUGGCUGCCUUCCAAAAGAAACCACGGAACCUGUCAAACAAGCAUAUUACACCAAAUUAGCUCCAAUUCUCAACACUUCCUACCAAUGACUUCUGAUUCCAAAGUAGAAGCUAUAAAUACUAGAAACAAAAAUGUUAAUAUAACCAAUUUAGAUACCAAAGAGAAGAGACAAAGAGGGCCAAGAUUAACUGGAGUUAUGCUACUUUAAUUAAUCUAAGCUCUUCAUAGAGAAAGAAAUCAAGAAGUUGAAGUUAUCUAAGAAGAUGCACAUGAUCAGAAAAAAGAGAAAAAAGCCAAAAAAAUUUCUUGUUACGAUUGAGAACUCUACUUCAAACUUCACCAAUGCUAAACUUACAACUAUAUCAUUGUGACUAUAUUUGUUGCCUUGCUAGUUGCCACCCAAAACAGUCCAUUUAAUUUGCAAAAUUGCAUCAAACAAAAUCAAGACAUAAGACAAUAAAUUUGAUUGCUCAAAGAUGAAAGAAGGCAAAAAUCAAAACCAGCCUAGUUAGAAAUCAUCUGUUUUCCUUCUCUUUCUCUUUUAAUUUCUUUUUUGCAAUGGAUGGAAUAUACAAUAGAGGAAAUCUAGCUCCACAAACAUUUGGUUACAACAUCAACUGCCCCAACAUCCCCCAUCUCAAUACUUUUCAGUUCAACGUAGCUAUUCCAAAUUACAAAUCUAACUCAUCUAUACGAACACCGCAAAACUAACUGCAUGACUUAAUCACAUACAACUUGAUUAUAGUAGCAAUCGCCCCAACAUCCCCCAUCUCAAAAGUUUCCAGCUCAAAGGCAGUUAUUCCAAAUUACAAAGCUAAAACAACUACAAAAGCACUACAAAACUAACUGCAUGACUUGCAGACAUUUAACAAUUAUGCCAAGGCACACAAUCUAGCAUUCAAUUGCCAAAAUCAGUUCUGAUUGAAAUGAAAAUACAAGCUUAAAUCAACUACAAAUAUAGUAAUGAGAACUGUUCAACACUAAACCAAUAAAACAAAUAGAAGAAAAUUAGAAAGAGAGCGAGAGGAUAUACCCAGUUCUCUGUUCAAGGAUAGCUGGAAAUUGCAUCUUCAAGUAAGUGCAGGUGCAGAUUCCCAAUAGCACUACCGUUAAGAAUGAACGGAAAUUGAAGAGUGCCGACUGAAAGCGCACAUCAGAAAAUUAAUUUUAACUUUUUACAGAUUUCGGAAAAUUAAAAGAAAAAAGCGAUUUCAGCAAAUUCGGAAAAAUAGAAAGUUAGGGUUUUUCUUACCAUGGUUUUGGGAUAUUUCUUUGAUUGAUUGAUUAUCCACUUCAAAUGCCCAGUAGCAAAAAGAAGGUAAAAUUAAAAAAAGAAAAAAAAAGGGCUUUGGAUCAAAAAUCAAAAUGCAAUUUUUAUUGAAAGGCAAUGAGGUACCAAUUUUCCAGCUAGUGAGGAUUCGGGAGUUUUUUUGGAAUUAUAAAUUGGGGCAGCGAGUAAAAAGAAAAAAAAGGUCAUUAACGAAUCACGCUGCGCCACGUCAAAAUUCCACAUCAUGUCCACAUAAGUAAUCCUUGUUGGAAAAUAGUUUCUAUGUAAUUAUAUAAUAAUUUUAAUCCAUUUUAUACCUAUUUUUACCCUCAAGUAAGAAUCCUAAGUUUCUUCAUCAUCUUCUGCUCCUUGGUUUUAGUUGAAGGGGGUCGCAAUGCUUUAACUGUGUCAGCUCGAGCAUGGCUGCUUUGCUUUGAAUCGUUUUUGCUCAGUGAUUUUAGCAGUCUUCCUUCAACUGAGAGAACUAAAUGACAUGCAAUUAGUGUUGGACAAUGGCAGUCUUCCCUCAAUUUUAGGGCUCUUACUUGAGGGUAAAAAUAGGUAAAAUAAAAUGGAUUAAAAAUAUUAUAUAAUUACAUGGAAACUAUUUUCCAACAAGGAUUACUUAUGUGGGCAUGAUGUGGAGUGCUGCUACAUCAGAUCUCAUUAGUGAAUUAAUGGUUGGGUAAUUAAAAUAUUUAAUCAUGAUAAAAAUAAUAACUUUUAUUUGGGUGACCGAAAUGAAAAUACCUAAAUAAUUCAGUAACCAAUUAAAAAAUUUACCCAAAAAAUAAACUAUAGGCCCACAUAUUAUAAAACUAGAGGGAGAAAAGGUAACACUUUUUUCUUUUUACUAAACAAGCUUUAUACAUACCUAUAUUUAAAGGCCUGGCAACAUCAUAAUAUACCACAAGUUGUUGUAAUUGCACAUUAAAAUUUUAAAUAAUUUAUUACUCAUAAAUUCUUGAGAGUUUGGGUAGACUUUUAUGUACACUUGAUUUGGAUUAAAAUUUUAUUAGAAAAAACAUGUGAGAUGAAAACUUAAAGAAUGAAAAAAGGUACACAAUCUUCUAUUAUAAGUUGUUUCGUUAAAAACUUUUAUUAAAAAAGUUUAAUAAGACAAAAUCUUAGUUAAAUGAAAAGAAUACAACUCUCCCUAAUGACAACAUCACUUAAUAUCUUUGAGCCGACGCAUUCCAAUUUUAUAUGUUUCAACCUUUCAAAUGUUGCAAUUGGUAAUGAUUUGAUAAAUAGAUUUGUUAAAGUAUCAUUAAAACAAUUUUGUUGAACUUUCGUAUCACAUUUCUUCUCAAGGUCAUUAGUUAAAUUUGUUUCAUUCCCUUUAACUGAGUUGUACAUGUUACAUUAUCUUCGUAUAAGAUAACAGACAUCUUUUCCUAUAGAGGUGAAUUGCAUAUUUUCUGAAUAUGUUGGGUCAAUAGUUUUAACCAAACACACUCUCAACUUGCAUCAUGCUUAGUAAUUUGUUUCCGCAUGAUUUGAAAAGGUGGCAACAAGUAAUGUUUAUUUUGUUAAAUGUCAUGAUAUGGUUGCACCUCCAAGUGUAAGUAAAUAUCUUGUUUGUGAUUGACCUCCAUGUGGAUCUAAUAACUAUCCAACAUCUACAUAGCCAAUUAAUUGAGAUUUUGAAUCAUUCAAGUAAAAUAACCUCAUACCAAUUGUUCCUCUGAGAUAUCUAAAUGCAAGUUUAAUUACAUUCCAAUGUUUGUGUGUUGGAGAAGAGUUAAAUAUUGCUAACAAACUUACAUUAAAUAUUAUAUCAAGUCGUGUGUUGUUUGCAAGAUACGUUAAUACCUCAAUGACACUAAGAUGUGAUAUUUCAUAGAGUUAAAAGACAAAACCAAAUUGAGGACAAUAUUGACCUAUUGAGGGGUCCACUAGCUCCCAACAAACGACAUUUCGAAGACUUCUCCUGAAGGAAUUAGCCUCCCUCAACAAAAAAUCACUAGCUCAAGAGGUAACAUAGCUGCUCACAAGUGUCUUAUAUGUUGUAGGGUAUGAGCUCAAAUCUUACCAAGUGCAAUUAUUCUCAUUUCCUCAGUUGGUGGUUGUGUGUCACACAUUGUUCAUCCUGACAAGGCACUACCACUUUGUUGAACUUGCUGCCUCUUCAAACAGUCUUAGGCACUUGAGAUCUCGUCAGAGUCAGGAGAUAAAACAUCAAUCAAGAACAAUAUCGGAUGUGUAGAGGGGUUCACCAACUUCGAACGGACGAUACUUCAAAAACUUAUCCCAAAAGAGAUAUAAAUCCUUCAACUAAAGAAAAUAUAUUAUUUAAAUUAUUUCAGUAUUAUAUUGCAAAUUUGUGCUUCUCAAUUUUUUUUCCUUCAAGGAAAUGAAUUUUGCAAAAUAAAAUGGGUAAAAUACACAUAUAUAAAUUUAUGCUUUAGAAAAAUUCAUUUCACCUUAAAAAAAUCAUUUUAAUCCAAAAUUGGUUCAUAGUUCUUAUUAUAAAAAUUUCUCAUAAAUUUGCUCAAAAUUGAUGACGUGGACUCGUUUAGUGUGUGCUUGAUUAGGUGGAAAAUGGAGAGAUAAAAAGGAUGGUGUAAAAAAGUGGAAAGAAAAUAAAUUUUGAAUAUGUUUGAUAGUGAAAAAUAGUAAAAGAAAAUAAAAGAAACGAAUAUUUUUCAUCAUAAUGCAUAAAAAUCAAUUCUUACAAGUUAGAAAUAUGAGGGUAGAGAAAAUGAGAAAGGGGUGUUAUUUUCUUUCCCUUCUAUUUUUCAACUCUACCAAGCAAUGGACAAAAAAAAAUAAUAGACACUUGGCAUCUCGAGAGAACACCAGAAAGAUACCUAUAAAUAGUUUCCCACCUCUUGUCCUCCAUAUCGUCAUUAGCUGCUCAACUUCCCAUAUAAGUCACCUCCCAUUGGACCAUCCACCACCAGCAGGAACGUCCCUUACAUUAGGCCACCCGCUUUUUAGUGUGAAUGAGUGUUCUUGGUUGGGUGGAAAAGUGAAAAGAAAAUAGAAUUUGGGUGUGCUUGGUUGGGAAGGAAAGUAAAAGGAAAGAAAAUAGGAGAAAUGAUCAUUUUUCAUCCUAAUGCAUAAAAAUCAAUCCAUCCAAAUUGGGAUGACAAGAGAAGAGAAAAUGAGAAAGAUAUGUGUGUUAGUUCAAAAUUAUGCAUUUUCAAAUGCUUUAUUUUAUUUCCUUACAUUUUUCAACUAUACCAAACAAUUGAUGGAAAUAAAAAGUAAGAUUGCUUUUGGUUUUAAGAAAUAGAAGUCAUUUUCAUUUCUAUUUUCUUGAAAAAUAGAAAAUAUUGAAGAAAACAUGUUUGGUUGAAUUUUUUAAAAAAUGACUUUUCAAAAAUAAAAAAGAAAAUAUGUGAAAAUUAGAAAACAAUAAAAAGUUGUUUUCAUUGUUUUCACUAAAAAUGUUUUGUAAGAGUGAAAAUGAUGAAAAUAAGGGUUUUUAAAUUGAGAUGAAUUGAAUAUGGUUAAAAAUAUUUUCUUUAUUUACCAAACACUUUUUUCAAUUUUUAAAUGAAAACUAUUUUUUGAAAAUGAAAAUGUGAUUAGAAAAUAUUUCUAGAAACCAAAUGGAGCCUAAUAUUCUUCUAGUUUUUCUAUCUCUCCCCCCAAGAACACUUAUAGAAAAGAAAAAUUUUGUUUUUCAUCCUUCUAGUUUUCUACCCUUUCAAUUUUUCAUCCUUCCAAAUUUGUUUCCACUCUAUCAAGAAAAACCCUAGUGUGAACACUCCUUUUAGAGGCCAUUGGGGUCUACUUGAGCAUAAUAACCUUGUAGUGCCUCAAAAGGAAUAACAGAAUAAGCCCUACAACGUGUGUUACCCACACACUCCAUAAUGACAACCCAAUUGGUAAUAACCUACAACGUCAUCAUUAUUAGACAAAAAGACUCUUCUUCACACUCACUCACGACACUCAGCCUUUUCAACCUCCUUAUUCUCUUCCCUACUUACAUCGUUUCUUCUACUAUUUGCCUGUUUAGGUGAAUCGGCCUCUUUUGCUUCACUAUCUCCUCUCUUGUUAAUACCCUUCACCAAUACUUAAUACUCCUAUUUUCUUUCCUUUCAUUUUUCUCCCUUACCACAUACAGGGCAAUUUACCAAAAAAAGCCGUUUUUUUUCAAAAUUUACCGAAAUGGGCCGAUUUUUUGAUUAUUUAUCGGAAUGGGCCAUUUUUCGUGAAAUCGCGUCCACGUCAGCGCGAUGUCAGGGUACGUGUCAGAACAUCGCGUCCACGUCAGCGCGAUUUGCUUACGUGGACACAAAUCGCGCCUAUGAGGACGCGAUUUGCUGACGUGGAUGAACAGUUUAUGUUUUUAAGCUUGGAAAACUUUGAAAGGCCAUAACUUUUCGCUCGGUUAUCUGAUUGAGACGAAUUUUUUUUGAUUUCGAAUAACUUUUCGAGAUCCAUGCGCUGAAAAACAGCCGAAGGUGGUUUGCCACAGUUUUUGUCAAAAAAGAUCCUUUUUUGCCCCUAAAUUUUGAUUCUUUUCAGUUUAAAAUUGAAUUUUGAAACAUUCAAAUCAUUAUUUUCCUUAUUUAUUUGAAGUAAACACCGGAUCUCUUUUUACAGAAUUGUCUUAUAUCAUCUUGUUAUAGGUAUAAGUCAGCUCAUUCCACUUUUGAGAAGUUCCCUAAAAUUUUCCAUUUUAUUCAAUUUAGUCCCUAAAACCUAAAUAGUCAUAUUUUCAAAUCUAAGCUUCGUUUUUCAAUUCAAAUUCAAUUUCAUCCCUCCAUAACAUUCAAAUAUUCUUAAAUACAAAAAUUUCAUGCUAAUUUUGGAAUAAUUACACUUUAGUCCCUAUACUCGUAACUAACAAAUUAUACUUUACAAAUUAGUCCCUAUUCAUCUCUAAGCAGUUUGUCAGCGCGUAGAUCUCGAAAAGUUAUUCGAAAUAAAAAAAAUCGUCUCAAUCGGAUAACCGAGCCAAAAGUUAUGGCCUUUCAAAGUUUUUCAAGCUAAAAAACAUAAACUAUUCAUGCCACGUCAGCAAAUCGCAUCCUCUAGGGCGCGAUUUCCGUCCACGUCAGCAAGUCGCGCUGAUGUGGACGCGAUUUCGCGGAAAAUGGACCAUUCCGGUAAAUAAUUAAAUAAUUAGCCCAUUUCGAUAAAUUUUGAAAAAAAAAGACUUUUAUUUGUAAAAUACCCCCACAUACACUCAAUUUCUUUUUUCUUUCUUCCACUUUUUCACACAACCAAAUACACUUUUAGUGCGAUAUUGAAUCAAUUAACAAACUACAAAGCAAGUAAAGCAUAUAUAAAUAAUUUUUUUGCAGCGAUAUGUAUAUUUGAUACAAUAUUAUGUUAAGUCAGUUUACUUUAACUUGUUCAUGUAAAUUUUAACAUCAACAACCUUUCUCUCUCUUCAUGACUUAUAUAUUAGGAAUAGAUUUCAUAAUGAAAAAAGAAUAGUUUGAUUACAGUCAUAUGAAUAUAAUGAGAGACAUUUAAAUUAAAACAUAUGGUCUCCAGAAAGCUUCAAGAAACCGAUGAAUAUUGAGGAAAAUUUGGGCCAAAUUCUGAAGACUUUUAAAGGGAACGGAUAGUGAAUUUUUGACAACAAUGCAAAACUUUACCAUGGCAAAAAGAAACAGGGAGAGCCCUUUUGCAAAAAACCAGUAAAUCUUUGAACUUCCUAAACCAUCGACCAUGUUGUUUGUCUUCUCGGACAAUAAUCAUCUAUGUUGUUAAUCAUGAUCCAAUUCUCUCAAGAUUAUCUGAAACAGUUUUCAUCCUUGGUCGAAUCUCAGGGUCCGCUUCAGUGCAUGCAAGAGCAACCUGAAAAACAGCCAACACUUCUUUCUUGGCAUGCACUUCUUGUAAUAACAUCGGAUCAACCAUGUCUGACAAUGGCUUUUCUUCUUCAAAGCCUUUCCUCACCCACCUUACAAGGUCCAGAAUUUCCAUGGAAGUUGAUGUGGUCGGUGAUAGCUCCGGAGACUUGCCCGUUAACAGCUCCAGUAAUACGACUCCAAAUGAAUAGACAUCCCAUUUUUGUGUUGCUCGGUUGCCAGGGACUCGAGCCUCCGGUGCUCGAUAACUGUUGGUUCGUUCCGUUUGGAUUGAUUUGUAAGGGAGUCCACCAAUGAAGCCGCCGGAUGAAGAAUCGGGGUUGUUUCCAGUGAUGUUAAUGAGCCUGUUGAGGCCGAAAUCAGAGAUGUAAGAUUGGAAUUCGUUGUCAAGGAGAAUGUUAGAUGGCUUGACGUCUCCAUGAACAAAUUUUCUUGGACUGCAUUCAUGAAGAUAGGCCAAGCCACGGGCUGCUCCCUUUACAAUUUUCAGCCUUACUGACCAUGAGAGGCUUGUUGAUGGCUGACCAUUUCUGCCUGUAAAAAACCCAAUCUCAUUAACCUACUAAUGUUACGGAAAAUAUCCACUCAAAUUGAGACUCUAAACAAGUUGAUAUCAACAAUAAUGCAAUAUCUACCACUUUUAAUCCAUUUACAUUUUAAUUUAAUUUUAAUUUAAAACUGUCACAUGUCACAAAAUGAUUGGUUAAAAAAUUCUUUUAACGAUAUUAUUUUGAGUAACAGAAUAUAGUUGAAGUAUUACUUCUGACCCAAAUUUUUUUUUAAAAUGAUAUCAUUUAACUAUUAUUUUAUGAUUUAAGCCUUAAAUUUUGGCAUAUGUAUACACAAUUUUGUAAAAGGGUUUUAAAUAUUUAGAUGAUUGUAUUUAUAUGUAUACAUAAUAGUUUAAAAAUUGAAGAUGAAAGUGAAGUCACAAGAAGAUCCUAGCAGGUCCCAUCAAUGUGGUUUUUACUUAACAAAACCGGGGGGGGGGGGGGACCUUCAUUGGGAAGAAAGCUAGCUACCCUUUUAUGCUUGAGAUAAAAGAGAGUAGAAAAUCAAAAUGGAAAUAGGAUCAAAAGCACACUUUUUAUUUAUAUAUUUAUUUUACUAAAAGUCUGUCUCUGUUUAAAGUGAAGAAGAAAGAUAACUAUAGAGGAAGAUGCCCAGACCAAAGCCACUUUAACUAAAGUCUUAGAUUUGAAGUAAUAUUUUUCUUCUUUUUUGUUACCAAGGUUGUUGUUUUGAUCUACAAAGGCUGAAACUAUAUAUUAAAAUGGGGACAAUCUAAAAGCAUGCAAGGGAAGGCUGCACAGCAUUUUAUGUUUUGAUUAAACCCCUAACAUAAUCCACACUAAAGAUCCAGUGAGUCAUCUUCUUUGAGUUGUGACACAUCAUCAUCUUGUGAUUGAAACUUGAAAUGCUGAAAGCCUCAAAGUUAAUGUCAAUGCUCCUUUUUUAUUAUUUUAUCAUAUGAUGAUGAUGAUGCAUCGCCAAUGGUGAGGGACCUACCUUUUUGGUAGUAUUCAUUUAAAACCAUUCAACCAACCCAACUCUAUAAGCAACCCCACAACAUUAAUUACUAAUUCUUUCAUAUAGAGACCGUUGCUAGAACGUUCGUGGCUCUUUAAUAUUGUGUGUAAAUAUGAUUCUUUUAAUUACAUAAAAUUUAGGGGGAAAAUUGAUGAGAUUAAAUUCAAAACCAGUAUAACUAUUAGUGAAGUAAUAAGUUUAAGGAUAAAAAUGAGGUAUAGGGUAACAAGAAAUGAAUGAAGUGUUGACAAAAGUUUCGGCACUGCAAUAACAACGGAAAGGGACUGCACUGCCAAGGCCUAACGAGUCCUCGUGGGUGCGUAAUUACAGGCAAAACGGGUCGGCCACUUUGGACCACUUAAUUUCUCAAAUCAUCAACGUCGGAUUAUGGCUUCCAAAAACUAGUAAUUAAGGCAAAACAAGAAUAGGAAUUCUAAGUUUUGUUUAUAAACAUAAUAAGGACACGUUUAAAGAAAGACCAACCUAAAAUAUGAGAUUGCAGUAGGGUCAUAAUCGAGUCUAGUCAAGCUACAAAAGUCUGAGAUUUUAUUAUAAAUUAAGUUCACCAAACUGUUCGAACUAGUCAUAAUAUGAUUAUAUCUAGAAUAAUGCUUGCUAGAAUCGAGAGUUUAAUGCUUGCUAGAAUAACCCAAGCAGGAAAACAAGAAACUAACCUCUGAUGGCGUUAGCCAAAUUGCCAUUGGAGAUGAAAUCACUAAUGAGAAGCUUUUCAUCAGGGGCCCAAUAGUAAGCUCUCAGCUUCACCACAUUUGGAUGCUUCACUUUCCCAAUUGCUUGAACUUCAGCCACAAACUCCUUGUACCUUUGCUCUCCACCUUCGCCGCCCAAUCUCCGAACAGCCACCGGGAUCCCAUUUCCCAGCACCACUUUGUACACUAUCCCAAGCCCACUCUUACCCAACACAUAAGCCGACGCUCUAAGCAACUCGUCCAACUCAAAACUGAACCCUUUAUCAAUGGCAACUAGCUCGCCUUCCCCUUUCCCCGAUUUCUCCCCUUUUUCAUUGUCUUCCAAUUCCGAGUCAUUGUUGCGACACUCAUUGAUGCAUCCAAAAGGACAAACGGAACAAAAUUUCCCUUUGUUGUUAUCGCCAAACUUGGUUUUCCCAGUGCAACUACAACUAUUUGAAGAAUCUUUGUUUUUCCAGUAAAUAUAAACGAUAAUCAAUCCUAUCAACGCCACACCACCGGCAUCAGCUGCUGAGAUUAGUAUGAUUAAACCAGGGCUGAGCCCCUUUUUCUGGGUUUCGCCCGAAUUCGGACCCGAAUUUUGAGUCCCUGAAGAACUUGUACUCGAAUUGUUACACGACUUUUGAAGGGGAAACCCGCAUAAAAGAGGGUUGUUUAGAAAUGCGGUUGGUCCUUGAUUAGCAAACGAUCCCGUUUCAGGUAUCUUCCCGCUUAAAUUGUUGUUCCUGAGAUCGAAACUGACCGUCACCGGUAAGUCGCCCAAGCUUUUCGGGAGAUUACCGGAUAAGUGAUUGUAGGAUAGAUUGAGAGUGCCCGACAAUGAGUUUAACUCUCCGAUGGUACUAGGGAUCGGUCCCUUGAAUUCAUUCGAAGAAAGAUCGAGUUGGACCAAGUUGUCUAAUUCCGGCCAAAUUCCGCCGGGAAUUUCGCCGGAAAACUUGUUUUGAGCUAGAAUCAACCGCUGCAACUGCUUGCAGUUCUUG
rnacentral:lncRNA from 1 species